GACGAACCGUGCGAACGUUAUUCGGAAUCACUGGGCUUAAAGCACGUGUAGGCGGGACGGCACGUCGGUCGCUGAAAUCCCCCGGCUCAACCGGGGAACGGGCGCCGAUACGACCGCCCUGGAGGGACGUAGGGGGACCGUGGGAACUUCCGGUGGAGCGGUGAAAGUGCGUUGAGAUCGGAAGGAACGCCCGUGGCGAAAGCGAGGUCCGUGGGACGUUUACGUGACGCUGAGACGCGAAAGCCAGGGGAGCGAACGGG
rnacentral:rRNA from 1 species